CUUCACCCUCCUGACUCUGCUGCAUCCUGCAGAUCUCAGCCCCAGGGGCCCGAGGAAGAUGGGCUGGAGUCCCCUUGGGAGAAACUUUUCCAGAACCACCUGCUCUGCCCUGGGCAGUCAGAGGUGAGAAUGGACAGGACAGGGUGGGAAGCCCACCCAGUGGGGUGGAAGGCCCAGGCCCGCCUUCUCCGAGCCAGCAUAGCCGUUGACCACCGUGCCCCAAGCAAGACUGCCCUGACUCGGCCACCAGGUCCUCGUCUUCAAAGGCACUGCUGGACAUUUCCCAAAUUUCAGGCAUUUUGGUGGCAUCUGGAUUAUCACCUAUUUCACAUUUGUCUUUAACUCACUUUUAAAGGACUUCAAUCAAUGCAUUUAUCAAGGAAGCUUUACAUCAUUACUGUACAUGGAAAACCAGUAGCACUUGCCAAAACCAGAAAGUAACGGCAAGUACAAAGAAAACAAAGCGCUAUCAGUACAUUCUAGCACGCUGAUGUCAACAGCCCUGAGUUUGAGACCUUCUCUCUAUUAAAAAGAGACAGUGACAAAUGUUACAGUCAUUAAAGACAUGUUAGCCUCAAA